AAAAAAAAAAGAACUAAUACUUAAAGAUAAAACCUGUAAGGAUAUAAGAACAUGUGAAAGUUACACCAUGGGCCAACAAAAACUAACCCAGGGUGGCUAACAGUAAGACCAGUGGACAACAGCAAAAGGAUCAAAUCACUUACAAGGGGAAAGAAAAUCAACUGGUUUCAGAUUUCUCUAUAUUCAGGCUGGGUGUGGUGGCACGUGACUGUAAUCCCAACUACUCCGGAGGCUGAGGCAGGAGAACUGCUUGAACCCAGGAGGUGGAGGUCGUGGUGAGCUGAGAUCGCGCCACUGCACUCCAGCCUGGGCGACUCUAUCUCAGGAAAAAAAAAAGAUUUCUCUAUAUUCGACAAAACUGUCCUUCAAGUAUAAACCUAUAGGCAAACAGCUUUGAACAUACACAAAUUAAUGGACUGCUAGAGGGGUGAACACCUAAUAAAUUUAACUUUAGAAUGAAGACUAAAACUACCAUGGCAACUGGGGUGAUUAAAGAGCUUGUGAAUGUUAUGCGGCAGUGUAGAAAUGACAUUCUAACCAAAACUGGGCUGGGAAGAAUAAGGGAUCCCUGGCCCCCUCCAGGCUCCCUGAGAAAGGCUGGCCCCUAUGAGAUCCAGAGCACACAGCAGAGCACGUUCAAGGGCAGGUGAGUCCCUCCUUUAUUUAUUGGUGGCCAAUUAAGAAAAUGAAAACUCAGAAACUGGUUUUGGUCAGAUACAAAAAUAAUAUUCUUACCACGUUGUGAAUGGAGAUGAGAGGAGAUGGUGGCAGCUGGGAAUUAAAAAAAAAUUUUUUUACUGAUAGCAAUGGCUUUGGCUACUCCAGGAUGCCAAGAGGAGCACAUUCUGUGGAUAUGAGUAGAUGUAGGGAGGCGGCUUCUAAGGAAGCAGGCUUAUGAGUAAGAGGCUGGAUGGCCCAGACAUCCACUUUUUUGUUGUUCUUGCUUUUCUGUUUUGUUUUGUGUUUUUUGAGACAGUCUCGCUCUGUCGCCUAGGCUGGAGUGCAGUGGCGCGAUCUU
rnacentral:lncRNA from 10 species